GGACUACAAGACUGCUGUAGACUGUCUGGGAGUAAACACUUGGGAUGUUAUCAAAGAUAGCUGGAGGGAGGGGUCAGGAUGGAAAGCUCCAGGCUUAAAGUGGGUCCUCCAUUAAUUAUGAAAGUGUCCCUACAGUGACAGAAGUAAAGGACUGCAAGUGACAGGGUAUGACACUGAGUGGCAUGAGCCUGGGGAACCUGUGACAAACAAUGAGGAAGAAUAAUCUGGGGAUGGGAACCCAAGCCAGUCAUUCCAUGUAUACAUUUUAGAGAUUUCUAAUUUUGUUAUAAGAACAAAAUUAUGCCAUUUGUAGAAAAACGGCUGGAAUGCAAGAGCAUCUUGUUAGACUCAGACACCAGACAGAUACCACAUCUUUGUGUGUGUGUGUGUGUGUGUGUGUGUGUGUGUAAUAUUUAACACACAUGUAUGCUUAAAUAUACCUGUAUAAAGCAUGGUAGCAGAAGGGAAACAGAAGAAGGGUACAUGAUAUUCUUGAUCAAAAUGUCAUAAAACCACUUUGUACAACAAAUUACACUAGUUCUUUUAAUAUUUAUUUGUAACCUUAGGUUUGUGGUUUUUGCCUGCAUGUAUGUCUGUACCAUGUUUAUGCACCAGGUGUGUGCAGUACCCACAGGGGCUAAAAGAGGGAUCACAUUCUGAGGACUGGGGUUAAGGGCAGUCAGUCGCUGCUAUGUAGAUGCUGGGGGGUGGGUGGUGGGGGGAUUCUGGACCUUCUGACAGAGCAACAAGUGCUCUUAACCACAGGAGCGUCUCUCCAGUCUACCUAAUAAUUUAAAAUAUCUGUCCUUGGCUAAAAAGAUGGCUCAGUGGGUAAGGGUUCUUGUCACCAAGCCUGAUGAUGGUCUAAGUUUUAUCCUUGGGAUCCACAUGGUGGAAGGAGACAGUUGCUUCAAGUUGUCCUCUGGCCUUCAUAUAUGUGCUGUGGCAUGCAUGAUUGCCUAUCACUGCCAUGACAAGAGACACCAUCCCUCAGAAGAUAGAUGUCAGGAAGAGCAUGUGGUGAGUGGCAUCGGGAUGUGCAUGUGGGGACACUUACCCUGAUGGUCUCAGAGACAAUAACUGUUGGGUGAGCAAAGGACAUGCUUACGGGGAGUUCUCUUUUCUGUUGAAACUCGGUUCCAAAACUGGGUGUGCAGCUGUAAUCCCAGCACUUGGGACAUGGAGACAGGAAAAUCAAAAGUUCAAGGUUCUUCUCGGGCACAAAGGUCUCCUGUGCCUCAGACUGGCCUUGAAGUUUCUAUACAGCAGAGGGGAUAACGUUGAAUUUCUGAUCCCAUGUCUUCACCUCCUGAGUGACAGGAUUACAGGUGUGCCUCACUGCAUGUGAUUUCUGGGGCACUGGGGAUGGGAAACGGGACUUCAUGCAAACCAACUGAGUUACCUCCCAAGGCAAUGUUGAUAGUCAUGAGACCAGAAAAUAUACAGAUGAGGAAACUGGUAUGUUAAGGAAGCCGUGAGGCUAUUUGACAUAUAUUUCCCCUAAAAUAUUUUUGAAAACAAGAAAAUAUGAAAAUUCACCCAAAAGUUUAACAUUGAAGAUAUUAUCCAGAAAGUCAAAAGUAACCAAGAAAAGGAAGCAAUGGACCACCAAGAAGGCUCAGUGGGUACAGGCGCUUGCUACGAAGCCUGACCCAUAGACUCAUAUUCAAAGGCAGGAGGAGGUAUUCACAGGUUAGCAUGGCACAGGAGACAAAGAGCUAAAAUAUAAAAUGAUAGGAAAGUAGCUUAAGAAAAUUGGGCAUCACCCUUCCUGCCUCCUUAGGAUACCUGUAAGAAGGAGGCAAGCACGUUUGUGUAAGUGGCUUUAGGACGGGAGGCAGCCAUGUUGUUGUCUGGUGGGACAUACACAGACCCACCGUUGGCGAACCAUGUUAAGAUGUUCAUUCUUUUGGAUAAUGAGCAUUAAUUACUCUUGACCACGUGCACUGAUUCGUUUCUGUCAGCACAAGCUAGAGCUGCCUGGUAAGGUGUAACCUCCCCUAAGGAACUGCCUGUCUGUCUACAUUGGCUUGUGGGCCUGUUUGUGUCGUUUUUUCUCUUGGUUAAUGAUUGACAUGGGAGGAGCCCUGCCCAUCUGGACAGAACUGCACCUGGUCGAAUAACAAAGCUCAAGGAUGCUGAGUGAGCCUUGGAGAGGAACCAGUAAGCAGCUCUUGCACUGUGGUCUCUGCUUCAGUCUAGGCCUCCAGGCUUCUCCCUUCAUUUCCCCGAGUGAGGGAUCUAACACAAAAGUUUGAUAUACUUUUCCUCCUCCGUGUCGCUUUUGGUCAGUGUUUUGUUACAGCAACAAUGAAGCUAACCAGAAUGCCACUAAAUGAGUUACUACACAUCACUAAAAUCUUGGAUUGUUUUAUGCUUUUUAAAAAAAUGAUUAUUCAGAGGCCCAUUUGUGGAGAUCAGAGGAUAACUUGAGUUCGUUCUCUACCACCAUGUGCAUUCUGGGGAUGAAAGUCAGGCGAUCAGGCUUGGUGGCAACUGCCUGUAGCCUCUGAAUCUCUUCACAGGGUACCACCCCACCACUGCCACUCUUUAUUGAGGCUUUUAUCUAGCAUACAAUAGCAUUCAUUAUGGUAUUUUGUAGACAGAAGUUUGUCCUGCCUGGUCCCACAGCCAUUUAGUCCCAGAUAAAUGCACAGAGGCUUAGGACAUCCCCCAUCAUCAUUUAAUGACAUCUCAUUAUACCUUGCUCUUAUUCGCUUUGCUCCCCAUCCUCCCACACACCGGCCCUCUCUCCACAGAGACCCACUUCUGCUCCCCACCCCCGCCCCCCUUAUCGCCCCAAUACACACUCCAACACUGAAAUCUAGAUUUCACUCAUGAGAAUAAAUAUGAACUGGAUGUCGUGAUGCACGCUUUUAAUCCCAGCUAGGAAGGCAGAGGCAGGUAGAUCUUUGAGAUUGAGGCCAUCCUGUCUACAUGUUGAGUUCCAGGUCAGCCAGGGCUGCAUAGUAAGUAAGACCCUGUCUCAAAAAAAUAAAAUAUUAAAAUGAGAGUAAA